AACGAACGCUGGCGGCAUGCCUAACACAUGCAAGUCGAACGAGACCUUCGGGUCUAGUGGCGCACGGGUGCGUAACGCGUGGGAACCUGCCCUUAGGUUCGGAAUAACUCCCCGAAAGGGGUGCUAAUACCGGAUAAUGUCCUCGGACCAAAGAUUUAUCGCCUUUGGAUGGGCCCGCGUUGGAUUAGCUAGUUGGUAGGGUAAAAGCCUACCAAGGCGACGAUCCAUAGCUGGUCUGAGAGGAUGAUCAGCCACACUGGGACUGAGACACGGCCCAGACUCCUACGGGAGGCAGCAGUGGGGAAUAUUGGACAAGGGGCGAAAGCCUGAUCCAGCAAUGCCGGGUGAGUGAUGAAGGCCUUAGGGUUGUAAAGCUCUUUUACCCGGGAUGAUAAUGACAGUACCGGGAGAAUAAGCUCCGGCUAACUCCGUG
rnacentral:rRNA from 1 species